AGUGAACGCUGGCGGUAGGCCUAACACAUGCAAGUCGAACGGCAGCACAGAGGAGCUUGCUCCUUGGGUGGCGAGUGGCGGACGGGUGAGGAAUACAUCGGAAUCUACUCUGUCGUGGGGGAUAACGUAGGGAAACUUACGCUAAUACCGCAUACGACCUACGGGUGAAAGCAGGGGACCUUCGGGCCUUGCGCGAUUGAAUGAGCAGAUGUCGGAUUAGCUAGUUGGCGGGGUAAAGGCCCACCAAGGCGACGAUCCGUAGCUGGUCUGAGAGGAUGAUCGGCCACACUGGAACUGAGACACGGUCCAGACUCCUACGGGAGGCAGCAGUGGGGAAUAUUGGACAAUGGGCGCAAGCCUGAUCCAGCCAUACCGCGUGGGUGAAGAAGGCCUUCGGGUUGUAAAGCCCUUUUGUUGGGAAAGAAAUCCAGCUGGCUAAUACCCGGUUGGGAUGACGGUACCCAAAGAAUAAGCACCGGCUAACUUCGUGCCAGCCGCCGCAGUAA
rnacentral:rRNA from 1 species